CCUCUCCGCUGGCUGUCCCCUCUCUCUCUCUCUCUCUCUCUCUCUCUCUCUCUGCUACCCCGGCUCACUUUUCAACCAGCUUCCGUGGCAAUCCCCGUAAAUUCGACCUCCUUUAUGGCCAAAAGCCCUCACCCCUUUCAAAUACAACGUCGUAGUCGGCAGCUCUUCAAUUUUUAUUUUAUUUUUUAAUUUAAUUUUCAAUUUGGGGGAGAAAUGAAGAGGCUGAGAUCCAGCGACGGUCUCGAUUCCUUCGGGAAGGAUCCGAAUCCGAAUCCUAACCCGAACCCCAGCUCCAACCCCAGCCGAACCUCCUCCAACUCGCACCGGAGCUUCUACUAUAAGCCAGAUACUGUGCGGAAGGGUUUGCUCUCUUCGUCCUCCUCGGCUUCUUCUCUGGCGCCGGCUCGCUCCUACGACGACCGGGAACAGGUCGGUUCUGGCGGAGGGUCCAGAACUGUCCGGAAGAGGCCGGGGCACGAGUUCGACGGUUUCGACCGGAGGAAGGGGACCGAUCGAUACAAUAGAGAUGGAGGAGGGUACGAUCGUAAUUUGAUGCACCGGUCCGAGAGCUUCUCCGCGUCGAGGAGGUCGCCGACGGAUUUUCCGAAAGGGUUUCGAUCGGAGCGGGACAGGUCAAGGCGCGAAGGCAGCGGGAGCGGAGCGUUGUCGUGGCGGAGGUUUGGGAAGGAGUUCGAGGAGAGAGGAGGAGGGAAGGGGUUGAGGGACGUGAGGUCGCCGACGUGGUCGAAUUCGAGGGAUUCAGGGAGCGAGCAGUCUAGGGUUAGGUCCCCUGCGAGGAGGUUUAGGGAUGGGAAGGAGUCGAAAUCGGAGUCCAAGUCCAAGUCGCCCACUUGGUCUAAGGACUCGGUGGGGAGUGAGCAGUCGAAGAGUGUUGAGGUGAGGAAGAGGGAGGUGGAGGCGGAGGAGGUUCAGGGUGAGCAGCCAAAGAGUGUUGAGUUUAGGAAGACGGAGACGGAGGAGGUUCCGGUUGAGCAGCCAAAGAGUGUUGAGGUUAGGAAGAGGGAGACGGAGGAGGUUAAGGCUGAGAAGGGGAGUAGGACUAGUAGUGAAAUGGAGGAGGGUGAGCUUGUGCCUGAAGCUGGAGCUGGUGUUGGAGGUGGAGGUGAAGGUGAAGGUGAACCCCAACUGGGUCCUGAAGGUGGAGCUGAAACAGAAGAAACACGGAUUCGAAGCGAGACUUCAGAUAGGGAUACAGAUAGGGUUGAGAAAGGUGAGUCUCUGGAUAAACAAGAGGCUAGGGAGGAGAAAGGUGAGUCCUCGGAUAAACAAGAGGUGAAAGAUGUGAGUAAAGAGAGUGUGUGUGAAAGGAAGGAUGAGGAGGAGAAGAAAGAUGAUGACUUGCCAAAUGGUGAUAACGAAAUGAUUGAUAAAAGCGGGAAUGUGGAAGCUCGUGAAGAUGAGGAUGAUGGAAAAGGGAGUUUCAGGGAAGGUGAUGAAGAAGUGGUCGCGGAGAUUCCGAUGGAAUUGGAAGAGGAACCAAAGCAAGAUAAGGGAAUUGACCUUGAAUUGAAGGCGGAGGAUGAUGACGAUGAAAUGACAGAGUCAGACAAGGUAGCAACAGAGGAUGAGGAGGAUAAUGAAUUGGUUAAGCUGGAUACGGUGAAUAGUAUGAGUCAGAAUUUUAAGGAUAAAGGUAAAAGCGUCGCUGUGACACCGACCGAUAUGGUAGAUUCAGCAGAAGAUGGUCGGUGGACUGCCAGAGAAUCCAGAGAGCUGUUAAUUGGGUUGGAAAAUGAUAUAGAAGGACUCAGCACUAGGGGUUUUGAGUUGUUUUCAAGCUCUCCUGUUAGGCGAAAGGAGAAAGCUGAUCAAUCUGGUUCCAGUGUGAAGGAUGAAAAGCUGGCACUUGAGCCGCUUGAUCUUUCUCUUAGCUUGCCAAAUGUUUUGUUACCCAUUGGUGGUGCAGCUCCUGGUUCUCCCGACCAAGCAAUGAGUGUUCAGUCUCUAAGUAAUACUUUUCGUACUAACUCUGAUGGAUUUACUCAAUCAGUAUCCUUUUCAGGCUCUCAGUCGUUUUAUCACAACCCUAGCUGUUCGCUAACCACCCAGAAUUCGGUGGACUUUGAACAGUCGGUUAAAAGUCGUCCGCUUUUCCAGGGAAUCGAUUGGCAGGCACUCGCUCAGACUGAGGCUAAGGGUAAAGAAGUUCCUUGGCAGGCACUUGUUCAGAAUGAUGCUAAGAGCAAAGAAAUCCCUUUGUAUCAAAGAAUCUUGAUGAAUGGAAACGGGUUUCAUCAACAACAGUCUCAAGCAUCGCAAGGCAUUCCAAAUGGUCAAUCGGUCCAAGGGCAACAACAUCGUAGGCAUCCUGAAGGAAGCUCUGAAGUGACGAAUGGAAUGGAAAGGCAUCUGAGCUUCAAUAAGCAGUUGUCAGGUGGACAGACAAGGAACCAUGAGGAUGUUAGAUCACCUUCGAAUAGCGUUGGAUCUCAUGAAAUGGGAUCAAACUAUAGUUUUGACAGAAAACGACUAAUGAGAGAGAAAAGUAGUGGUAGUUUAUAUAGGACUAGCAGUCAGAAGGAACACGAGAAAUUUCUCAUUGGUGGAGCUGACUUUGUGGAGACAAUCGUUGCCAGGAUAGUCUCCGAUCCCAUACAUGUAAUGGCUAGGAAGUUUCAUGAGAUGACAGGACAAUCCACUUCAUGUGUGAAGGAGACCAUUCGCGAUAUGAUGUUAAAUAUGGAUAAGCGCAUGCAACUGUUUGCAUUUCAGAAGGCAUUGCAGAGCAGGUCUGAUAUAACCAUGGAGAUGCUACUAAAAGCUCAUCGUGCGCAACUGGAAAUCUUGGUUGCUCUGAAGACUGGUCUACCGGAUUAUCUCCAGCAAGAGAAUGGUGCAUCUUCUGAUUUGGCUGAAAUUUUUCUUAACUCAAGAUGCAGAAAUCCUUCUUGUCGGAGUCUUGUGCCUGUGGAUGAAUGUGAUUGCAAGGUUUGUUCGCAAAAGAGUGGUUUUUGCAGUGCGUGUAUGUGUCUUGUGUGCUCAAAGUUUGACAUGGCCUCGAAUACAUGUAGUUGGAUUGGGUGUGAUGUUUGUCUCCAUUGGUGCCACGCGGAUUGUGCAUUGCGGGAAUCUUAUAUUAGAAAUGGACGCAGUGCUACUGGAUCUCAAGGGAUGACUGAGAUGCAGUUUCAUUGUGUUGCCUGCGAUCAUCCUUCUGAGAUGUUUGGCUUUGUGAAAGAGGUUUUUCAGAAUUUUGCAAAGGAUUGGACAAUUGAAAAUCUUGCUAGGGAACUUGAAUACGUUAAGAGAAUAUUUGUUGUCAGUAAGGGCAUGAGAGGGAGACGACUUUAUGAAAUUGCCGAUCAAUCACUGGCAAGAUUGGUAAACAAGUCUGACCUUCCGGAGGUGUACAAUUAUGUCAUGGCUUUUCUUUUGGAUGCUGACAGUUCCAAGCUAGGCAAAACAGCCACUUUAUCUGGGAAGGAUCAAAGUAAAGUGAACAAUGGGAUUGCUGGGCCAAGCCAGGAACCCACAUGGCUGAAAUCAAUAUACACAGAAAAGGUCCCUCAGUUGGAGACUGCAGCUAACACUCAUCCUAGCUUUAACUACGAUCAGCAUGAGAAACGCAACACAGAGUUGAACACAAGUGCCCAAAAAGAACCUCUUUUCGAAGAGCUGGAGAGCAUUGUGAGGAUCAAGCAGGCUGAGGCAAAAUUGUUUCAAACACGAGCAGAUGAUGCAAGAAGAGAAGCUGAGGGGCUGAAACGCAUAGCAAUGGCAAAGAAUGAAAAAAUUGAAGAAGAAUUUAGGAGCAGGAUAGCAAAGUUGCGCUUAGUAGAGGCAGAAGAAAUGCACAGCAAGAAACUUGAAGAAGUACAAGCUCUAGACCGAGCGCAUCGUGAAUACUCCAAUAUGAAGAUGAGAAUGCAAGCUGAUAUAAAGGAUCUUUUGUUAAAAAUGGAAGCGACGAAGCGGAACCUUUCUUUGUGAUUGGCAAACGAAGAGGAGUCCCUGUAAGAGUUUUCGAUGUGGCAGAUUUGUUUCGACGCACACUUGUCAAAAUUUGCAGGAUGCUAUGGUGAUAUUUUCUAUGAUCUAAUCAAAUGAACUAUUUAAUGUCAGUAGUUUGAGGGCUCCGAUUGCAACACACACCAGCAGCGAUGGGGGAGAAGUGGCACCGGUUGAUGCAGAACCUAUUCGGUGAUCAAUCCGAAGAGGAAGAGGAAGAGGUCGAUUCUGAGCACGAGUCCAAUCCCCAUCCCAAUUCUGCUCUACUAUCAGCGGAGACCUCUACAGGGUUGAUCAAAGAGGGGUCUACAAUCUUACCAAAGCAUUGCAGGACUAUAACAACGAAAUGGCGCAAUUACGAGCAGGAAAGAGUAGCAAGAGCAAACUUACAAUUGUUAAGUUCAGGACUUCGGAGUCGGUGGAUGGAUGGGAAAGUUCGUUCGUCAGGGGGCUUACUUUCAGGAUGUGGUUGCUUCUAAGUAUGAUGGAGGAAUGGAUGCCAAGUUCGAAUUCACUUUCACGGGAGAUGCUGUUUUCUCUGGUAAGAGAAAGACUAAAGUGGGAUUUUGAGGUUCUAAAUGGAAACCAACUAUUAUUCCUUUUACUCUAUUUCUUGCUGCAUUGUAGGAUAUGUUUUCACCAGACGAGGGUACUAACCUAAAAGCAGCUUCCCAAAAACAAAUUCAUGGUAUUUUAUUAUUAAUUACAGAUAGUAUUUCUAUGUUUUCCCUCUUUGUUUUAUAGAUAAUCAACUGUUAUUAAGCUGUUUUCGUAGUGAUUAGAACUGCCUAUAGAACUAAUGAAUCAAGUCAUAGUGAGAUAAGCUAAUCGAAACAGCACAAAUAUGAAUGAAAACAGGUUCUCUCUUUGGUCUUUAACAGGAACGUGUGAGGCACCUGUUCGUUGACUAAUUGAGUCCCUUCUCCAAGUUUUUAGUAGACAUUGGGUCGCUGUAAUUUGCGUUUAUGAGCACAUGUGACUAAAGAAAAUUUAAGCUGUCAAGUUCCCAAAAUGUCUAAGGAGAUAUCAUGUAUAACAGGUCACGAAUUGUGAUCAAUCCAAAUGCUUUUAUGAGCACAACCCAUGUCAUAUUUUGUUUUUGCA